rnacentral:rRNA from 1 species
GCAUCCAGGUCAAUAGGCCAUCAGGUGGGACAUCAUAGAGGGUGACAAUCCCGUCCUUGAUGCCAAUGUACAAGUCCGUUACGAUGACUAUCUCAGAGAGUCGAGCAGUUUGGGAUUUGCUGCUUAAACAUGGGAGGUAGAUUCCUUCUAAAGCUAAAUACAGGCGAGAGACCGAUAGAGAACAAGUACCGCAAGGGAAAGAUGAAAUAGAACUCUGUGAAGGGAGUCAAAAGGCGUGAAAUUGUUGCGAGAGAAGCGAUUCAAGUCAGCGUAGCUAGGCCCAUCAAGCUUUAUCGCUUUGGACUAGCUUUGCCAGCGGUCUUGUCCCUAGAGACUUGACUUUUGUGAUGCCCAGCCUGGUCUAUACAGGUAGCCCCUCUGGGGGCCAGUGGCAUGGCUGGUGGAAUGGCUUGCAAUCGACCCGUCUUGAAACACGGACCAAGGAGUCUAACAUGUAUGCGAGUAUAAGGGUGGCAAACCCGUAUGCGCAAUGAAAGUGACUUUCGUUGAUUGAGAAUGGCCUGACGACCAGACAAGCAAUACAUGUCCCUCGAACGGCCAUUGCCCAAGUUCCGUGGUAGAACCCACGAACAUGGAGUUGGAGCAUACAUGCUAGGACCCGAAAGAUGGUGAACUAUGCCUGGACAAAGCGAAGCCAAAGGAAACUCUGGUGGAGGCUUGUAGCGAUUCUGAGCGUGCAAAUCGAUCGUCUGAUCUGGGUAUAGGGGCGAAAGACUAUCA